AUGCAGUGGGAAGAAGCCCAGGAAUGCUCUCACCCCUACCACCUGCAUGUGGAGGAUGUCACUAGCAUGCCAGUAGACAAGUCAGACGAUAAUCCUCAACCGACCACAAUGUUGGGGCCCCAGUCCCAGUCUUCUGACUGGCAAGUCCCAUUCCGGGCUGUAAUCCACCAAGCCUCUGGCAGUAUCCAGCUCUGCUCUUCACAUUUUCAGCCUAGGGAGGAGAUCUCCUUCAGGUAAGAGAAGUGGCAGAGGGUUUUUGGAAUUCCAGGCUCUGGUGACUGAUGGUUGGUCCAAGGCCCAUAGCUGGUGUCUGGCCUUAUUUUAAACGGCUUCUCAUUUUUCCUCCAAAUUAGACUGAACUGCCAGUCUUGCUUGAAGAAGUCAUCCACUGGGUUUAUUAGAUGCUUUUCUAAGGUAGGGCUGUGCCUGGCCCAGCACUUUUGGUGUAUGUAAGACAAAACCAGAGCAUCUCAGAAUUUCCAGUUCUCAAGGUAUGUACCAGAGGAUAAAAGGCGGCCAAAAACAAAAAGAAAGGGUGCUCUCGUUGGACAUAUGCCUGGGUCGGUUUAGAUAGGUCAGAACAUUUGGCUUGCAGCCAGUCUUUCUGUGCUGGCUUUAACAGGGUGCUUUCAGCAAAUCCUAGCAGUGAAGCCCAGCCAUUUCUUAGAAUGGACCUUGCUGUUUCAGGAAACAACACUUGCCAAAGAUGUGGCAGAGAAAGUUUCUUUCUCUUUAUCUCUCUCUUCUUUUCCUCUUUUGUCUCUCUCUCUCUCUCUCUCUCAGUGAUGAAACUUUCAGAAGGCUCCUGACUUGGAAACAAUAUCUUCAUCCUAGAGGACACAUUGUGUGUAUUAGCUAAAUUGUCAAAUUGUACACAAGCCACCAUGGGUUCCCAUCCUGAGUCUUCCAGAGAAGUCAGCUCUGGUCUAUGAUCCAGACUUUUUCCUUUUCCCCUUAGAACUAGCAGCUACCUUGUUGCCUCACAAAAACAGACCAUGACCUCUCCCCUCUCACGUGACCUCCCCAGGACUCCAUAGCAACAUCUUACCAUGACCCAGCACAUCACAGCACUUGCGGAGAAAGCCUUGCUUGAUGCCGUUCACUGCCAGUAUUAACUCUUGGGCUCCCUGGGUGUGUGGAGUCAUUAGAAUAAAAAGUAUCUCAACAUACA
rnacentral:lncRNA from 12 species